rnacentral:tRNA from 1 species
GCCGACGUGGUGAAAUUGGUAUACACGCCUGCCUUAGGAGCAGGUACCGAAAGGUGUGAGAGUUCGAGUCUCUCCGUCGGCACUA